rnacentral:rRNA from 1 species
ACUUACCAUGUUACGAUUGCUCCCCUUUUCUUUUUUAGGUUUAAUUUACUUUUAGUUUAACGGGUCGGGGAGAGUGACGGGCGGUGUGUGCGCGCUUUAGGGCCAGUUUCAGCAGGACUCUCUAUUUGCUGCUUACUGCUAAAUCCUCCUUCUAAUAUUUAUUUCAUAAUAUUGUCCGUGUUGCCUUAGUAUAAGGAAUGUAGCCAUUUCUUCCCUCUCAUAUGCUCGACCUCGACGUUUUUAGUAGAACUGAUUAUGCUAACUUCUUUACCUUCACAGGGUAAGCUGACGACGGCGGUAUAUAGGCGGGAAGAACCAGAGAGGGUGAGGUUAAACGUGGGGUUAUCGGUUCUAGAACAGGCUCCUUUAGGUGGGUAUAAAGCACCGCCAAGUCCUUUGGGUUUUAAGCUAGUGCUCGUAGUACCCAGGCGGAAUGAUAAGGUAAAAAUCACUCAAUGUUUACAGCUAAGCAUAGUGGGGUAUCUAAUCCCAGUUUGUUUCGUAGCUUUCGUGGCAUCGCUUAUGUUAAAGUUACUUUCGUUUUUGGUGUUCUAUCCCCCGGGUGCGUAUAACAGCUAAGGGGGUAUUUCACUUUAGUUACAUUUAAAACUAACCACUCUUUACGCCGUUUUCUGUCAGCUCGAACCUCUCGUAUAACCGCGGUGG